rnacentral:hammerhead_ribozyme from 1 species
AUCCAGCUGACGAGUCCCAAACAGGACGAAACGCACAUCAAACUGGAU